ACCAAGAUAUUCAUUGCGGUUGUUAGCAGAACUCAUUGAAAACCUGCCGGAUAAACAGCAAGCGAACCGUUUACCGAGCGAAUAAUAAAUACGAAGACAUUAAGAACGCUUUCCACUCUCCCGUUCGACUGGCAUCAUAUACGGACAUAUUAGCAGUACAGCGUCGGCCCGAAUCACAAUUGUUGUGACCGCGUAUCGACUCGCUUUCGGGAGGGACGGAAAAAUACCGGUUUUUGCCGAAAAAUAAUUGUCCGAUUGCAGCGGGAACGGUUUCGAACGACGCGUAAAUGUUUUUCCAACACAAACCGCACGGACGGUUGUAAAACCAAGCGCGCUGCACGUUUGAAUCGUGCGACCGGAAUCGCCUCGGGGUCGAAACGGAUCCUAGAAUUCUAAU